rnacentral:rRNA from 1 species
AUCGAACCCGGAGAUAGCUGGUUCUCCUCGAAAUAGCUUUAGGGCUAGCCUCAUGGAUCAUUGGUGGGGGUAGAGCACUGAAUGUGCGCGGGGGCCACAAAGCCUACCAAACGCUAUCAAACUUCGAAUACCAUACAAUGCAGACCAUGGGAGUCAGUCCGCGAGAGAUAAGUUCCGCGGGCAAAAGGGGAACACCCCAGAUCAACCGCUAAGGUCCCCAAGUUCACGUUAAGUGGAGAAGGAUGUGGAAUUGCACAGACAACCAGGAUGUUGGCUCAGAAGCAGCCACACAUUUAAAGAGUGCGUAAUAGCUCACUGGUCGAGUGAUUGUGCGCCGAAGAUGUCCGGGGCUAAACGUGACACCGAAGCGAUGGGUGCAUCUGAAAGGAUGCGCGGUAGAGGAGCAAUGUGCAGAGGCAGAAGCCGUAUCGAGAGGCACGGUGGACACUGCACAAGAGAGAAUGCCGGUAUGAGUAGCGAGAGGCAUGCGAGAAACAUGCCCGUCGAAAGCCCAAGGUUUCCUGGGGAAGGUUCAUCCGCCCAGGGUAAGUCGGGGCCUAAGCCGAGGACGGAAGUCGUAGGCGAUGGACAGCAGGUGUAGAUUCCUGCACUACCGAUGGAAUGAAGCAGUGACACAGAAGGAUAACUCGAGCAGGGUGAUGGUCAACCCUGUGCAAGCAUCAAGGUUGGGUUGUAGUGAAGUACGCAACCCUAUAAGCUGAGGUGUGAUGCGGACCGAAAUUUCAGUAGGGAAGCGAGUGAGUUCACGCUGGCGAGAAAAGCUGCUAGUACAUCCAAAGGUACCCGUACCGGAAACCGACGCAGGUGGGCGAGGAGAGAAUCCUGAGACGAACGGGAGAACCCUUGUUAAGGAACUCGGCAAAAUGACCCCGUAACUUCGGGAUAAGGGGUGCCUGCGAGAGCAGGCCGCAGAGAAUAGUCACAAGCGACUGUUUAGCAAAAACACAGGUAUCUGCGAAAGCGAGAGCUGACGUAUAGGUGCUGACACCUGCCCGGUGCUGGAAGGUUAAGGGAACAUGUUAGAGCAAUCGAAGCAUCGAACCGAAGCCCCAGUAAACGGCGGCCGUAACUAUAACGGUCCUAAGGUAGCGAAAUUCCUUGUCGGGUAAGUUCCGACCCGCACGAAUGGUGUAACGACUUGUGAGCUGUCUCAACAGGGGGCCCGGUGAAAUUGAAGUAUGGGUGAAGAUGCCCAUUACCCGCGACUGGACGGAAAGACCCCGUAGAGCUUUACUGCAGCCUGAUAUUGAGUUUCGGUAAUUGAUGCACAGGAUAGGUGGGAGUCUGAGAGACACGGGUUUCGGCUCGUGUGGAGACGAUGUUGGGAUACCACUCUUCGGUUACUGAAAUUCUAACAUAGCUCUGUGAAACCAGAGGAUGGACAGUGUCAGGUGGACAGUUUGACUGGGGCGGUCGCCUCCGAAAGAGUAACGGAGGCGCCCAAAGGUACCCUCAGAAUGGAUGGAAACCAUUCGAAGAGCGCAAAGGCAGAAGGGUGCCUGACUGCGAGAGUGACAACUCGAGCAGAGACGAAAGUCGGGCUUAGUGAUCCGGCGGUAUUGAGUGGAAAAGCCGUCGCUUAACGGAUAAAAGCUACCUCGGGGAUAACAGGCUGAUCUCCCCCAAGAGUCCACAUCGACGGG